UACGAAGGGGGCUAGCGUUGCUCGGAAUCACUGGGCGUAAAGGGUGCGUAGGCGGGUCUUUAAGUCCCGUGUGAAAUCCCUCGGCUCAACUGAGGAACCGCACGGGAAACUGCCGGGCUUGAGUUCGGGAGAGGGAAGCGGAAUUCCGGGUGUAGCGGUGAAAUGCGUAGAUAUCCGGAGGAACACCGGUGGCGAAGGCGGCUUCCUGGACCGACACUGACGCUGAGGCGCGAAAGCUAGGGGAGCAAACGGG
rnacentral:rRNA from 1 species